rnacentral:rRNA from 1 species
AUGAGAGGGAGAGAAAGGGGAGAGGAGAGGAGAGGGAGGCCCGGCAGCGGACGGGAGAGGGUGACCGGCGAGGCGUCGGCCUGCGCCCCUCCUCGCGCACGAACCCUAGCUGAGAGACAAAAUGAGGGGGAGAGAGAGAAGGAAGGAGAGGAGGGAGAAAGAGAGAGGAAAGAGGAAAGGGAGGUGCGGCGGCUGACAGGAGAGAGGGUCAUCGGCCGGCGCCGGAGAGGACGGGCCCGACCUGGACGCGACCUGGAGGUUGGCGGUGGCUCGAUCCACUCCUGGGUCGGGAGCUGCGACGAGGCUGGGGCUCGGGCGCGUUGUACGGGAGGAUGUACUCCGCCUCUUCCUCAUGGUGCGGCGGACGGCGACUCUCCCUCUUCUCUGUCGUCGGCGGCCAGCUCAUCCCACUGCCUCGUGCUCGCCGCUGACCACGGAUCCGCCAUGGACGGAGGGUAUCAAGAGGGGAAGAGGGGAAGGACGUCUUCGCCUUCGCAAGCAGCACUGGCGGACGAGCACACACGCAUGUCCUCUUCCUGA